ACCCGGAUUAAUACCGCGUACGCCCUUCGGGGGAAAGCAGGGGAUCUUCGGACCUUGCGCUAUUGGAUGUGCCUAUGUCGGAUUAGCUAGUUGGUGGGGUAAAGGCCUACCAAGGCGACGAUCCGUAGCUGGUCUGAGAGGAUGAUCAGCCACAUCGGGACUGAGACACGGCCCGAACUCCUACGGGAGGCAGCAGUGGGGAAUAUUGGACAAUGGGGGCAACCCUGAUCCAGCCAUGCCGCGUGUGUGAAGAAGGCUUUCGGGUUGUAAAGCACUUUCAGUGAGGAGGAAAACCUUAUGGUUAAUACCCAUGAGGCUUGACGUUACUCACAGAAGAAGCACCGGCUAACUCCGUGCCAGCAGCCGCGGUAAUACGGAGGGUGCAAGCGUUAAUCGGAAUUACUGGGCGUAAAGCGCGCGUAGGUGGUUUGAUAAGCGAGAUGUGAAAGCCCCGGGCUUAACCUGGGAACGGCAUUUCGAACUGUCAGGCUAGAGUAUGGUAGAGGAGUGUGGAAUUUCCUGUGUAGCGGUGAAAUGCGUAGAUAUAGGAAGGAACACCAGUGGCGAAGGCGGCACUCUGGACCAAUACUGACACUGANNGUGCGAAAGCGUGGGGAGCAAACAG
rnacentral:rRNA from 2 species